ACACUCCUGCGGGAGGCAGCAGUGGGGAAUUUUGGACAAUGGGCGAAAGCCUGAUCCAGCCAUGCCGCGUGCAGGAUGAAGGCCUUCGGGUUGUAAACUGCUUUUGUACGGAACGAAACGGCCUUUUCUAAUAAAGAGGGCUAAUGACGGUACCGUAAGAAUAAGCACCGGCUAACUACGUGCCAGCAGCCGCGGUAAUACGUAGGGUGCAAGCGUUAAUCGGAAUUACUGGGCGUAAAGCGUGCGCAGGCGGUUAUGUAAGACAGUUGUGAAAUCCCCGGGCUCAACCUGGGAACUGCAUCUGUGACUGCAUAGCUAGAGUACGGUAGAGGGGGAUGGAAUUCCGCGUGUAGCAGUGAAAUGCGUAGAUAUGCGGAGGAACACCGAUGGCGAAGGCAAUCCCCUGGACCUGUACUGACGCUCAUGCACGAAAGCGUGGGGAGCAAACAGGAUUAGAAACCCCAGUAGUCCCG
rnacentral:rRNA from 1 species